UUAAGAUUCUGGCAGUGAAAAAGGAGGUUAAAGAGUUAAGCUCUGUGAGUUGAGUGCCAAGUAGAGGGGAGCUAGUACUUUUUAUAGGAGUGAAAUCCGAAUAAAAUGAGGUUAGUCUAUUAGUCCCUUAUUCUUGAUGCCUCGAAAUCUUAAUAUAAGACCGGGAUUAGAUACCCCGUUAUUUAAGAAGUAAAUUUUGAUUAUUAAGUUAAUUUACUAGGGUAUUACGAGAUGUAUAUGUAAUUUUAAUACAGCUAUCUUAAAACUCAAAAGACUUGGCGGUGCUUUAGGUCCUUCUAGGGGAACCUGUCCUAUAAUUGAUAGUCCACGAAUUACCUCUCCUUUUUUUGAUUUUUCAGCUUGUAUACCGUCGUCGUCAGAUUACCUUUAAGAGUAAUAAAGUUGUCAGUAGGAGUUUAACAAUAAGAUUAAUUUUUAGUUCUCAUUGUGAUCUCUUGACGUCAGAUCAAGGUGCAGUUUAUGAAAAGGAAGAGAUGGGUUACAGUAAUGAUUUAUUAUUACGGAUUUUUUUCUGAAUUGGGAGAUAUUGAAGGCGGACUUGGAAGUAAUUUAGAUAACAAGGGAAUAGAAAGCCUUGGUGAAAAUUGGCACUGAAGCGUGCACAUAUCGCCCGUCGCUCUCGUUGAAAAAUGAGAUAAGUCGUAACAUAGUGAGGGUACCGGAAGGUGCUCUUAGUGACAAUAA
rnacentral:rRNA from 1 species